rnacentral:rRNA from 1 species
AUUGAACGCUGGCGGCAUGCCUUACACAUGCAAGUCGAACGGCAGCACGGGAGCAAUCCUGGUGGCGAGUGGAGAACGGGUGAGUAAAGUAUCGGAACGUGCCCAGUCGUGGGGGAUAACGUAGCGAAAGUUACGCUAUUACCGCAUACGAUCUAUGGAUGAAAGCGGGGGAUCGCAAGACCUCGCGCGAUUGGAGCGGCCGAUAUCAGAUUAGGUAGUUGGUGGGGUAAAGGCUCACCAAGCCGACGAUCUGUAGCUGGUCUGAGAGGACGACCAGCCACACUGGGACUGAGACACGGCCCAGACUCCUACGGGAGGCAGCAGUGGGGAAUUUUGGACAAUGGGCGCAAGCCUGAUCCAGCAAUGCCGCGUGCAGGAUGAAGGCCUUCGGGUUGUAAACUGCUUUUGUACGGAGCGAAACGGCUUCCACUAAUACUGGGGGCUAAUGACGGUACCGUAAGAAUAAGCACCGGCUAACUACGUGCCAGCCGCCGCUGUAA